UACGUAGGGUGCGAGCGUUAUCCGGAAUCAUUGGGCGUAAAGAGCUCGUAGGCGGUUCAGCAAGUCGGCUGUGAAAGUCCGAGGCUCAACCUCGGAAUUGCAGUCGAUACUGCUGUGACUCGAGUCCGGUAGAGGAGAACGGAAUUCCCGGUGUAGCGGUGAAAUGCGCAGAGAUCGGGAGGAACACCAGUAGCGAAGGCGGUUCUCUGGGCCGGCACUGACGAUGAGGAGCGAAAGAGUGGGGAGCGAACAGG
rnacentral:rRNA from 1 species